AGAAUUGAUCUGGUUCAGGACGAACGCUGGCGGCGUGCCUAAUACAUACAAGUGGAACGCAUGAUUGAUACUGUAGCUUGCUACACCAUUAAUCAUGAGUCGCGAACGGGUGAGUAACGCGUAGGUAACCUGCCUACUAGCGGGGGAUAACUAUUGGAAACGAUAGCUAAUACCGCAUAAGAGUUUUUAACACAUGUUAGAAAUUUAAAAGGAAGCAAUGCUUCACUAGUAGAUGGACCUGCGUUGUAUUAGCUAGUUGGUAAGGUAACGGCUUACCAAGGCGACGAUACAUAGCCGACCUGAGAGGGUGAUCGGCCACACUGGGACUGAGACACGGCCCAGACUCCUACGGGAGGCAGCAGUAGGGAAUCUUCGGCAAUGGGGGGAACCCUGACCGAGCAACGCCGCGUGAAGUGAAGAAGGUUUUCGGAUCGUAAAGCUCUGUUGUAAGAGAAGAACGUUGAGUAGAGUGGAAAGUUACUCAAGUGACGGUAUCUUACCAGAAAGGGACGGCUAACUACGUGCCAGCCGCCGC
rnacentral:rRNA from 1 species